rnacentral:lncRNA from 1 species
GGGAAUUUGUUACGGGGGGGGCUGGGAUUGCUGUAUGAAUUGCAAUGUAAGCUGCAUGGAUCACAAUGCGAGUCGUGCCGUGGCUGGCAGUGUUGCAGUGUGCAUUGCUGUGUGAAGUGCGUGGGGAGCUGUGAUGCAGCCGUGCAAACUGCAGCUGCAACACAAAGAGCAGCAGUGCAGCAUGAAGCCGUGCUGCAAACUGCAGUGUUGGGCUGCAACAGGAAUUGUGAGGUGGGUUGCAAUAGGAGUGGCAACAGGAACUGCAGUACGAGCUGCAGGAUGGAUGGUGACAUAGAUUGCACCAGGGGUCGCAGUAUAAAUUGCAUCCUGAGCUGCAAGAGAAACUGUGGCCUGAGUUGCAAGGUGGGCUGCAAUAUAAAGUGCAAUGUGGGCUGCAGUGUGAGCUCCAAUGAGAGCUGCAAUAUAAAUUGCAUUGUGGGCUGCAAUAUGAAUCCCAAUGUCAGCUCCAACAUAAACUGUGGUCUGGGCUGCAAGGUGAGCUGCAGUAUAGAUUGCAAUAUGAGCUGCAAUGCAAAUUGCAAUACGAGCUGCAAUAUGAGAGGCAGGAUAAAUUGCAGUGUAAGCUGCAGUACAAAUCGCUGUAGGGGCUGCAAUACAAGUGGCAAUGUGAAUCCCACAGUGCACUCCAAUCUGAGCUGCAAUCUGAGCUGCGAUAUAAACUGCAGCGUGGCUUGCAAUAUAAAUUGCAAUACGAGUUGCAGUAUAAAUUGCAGUGAAAGCUGCAGUAUAAAUUGCUAUAAGGGUUGCAAUAUGAAUCCCAACGCGAGCUCCAAUAUGAGAUGCAAUAUAAGCUGCAAUUUGAGUUGCAAUAUGAGCUGUAAUAUAAACUGUGGUCUGAGUUGCAAGCGGAGCUGCAAUAUAAACUGCAAUAAAGGCUGCAAUGUGAGCCCCCAUGAGAGCUGCAAUAUGAAUUGCAAUAUAGGCUGCAAUAUGAACGGCAAUUGAGGUGCAAUAGAAACUGCAACAGGGGUUGCAAUAUGAAUGGCAGUAUGAAUCCCAAUGUGCAUGCCAAUACGGGCUGCAAUUUGAGUUGCAAUGUGAGCUGCAAUAUGAAUUGCAAUAUGAGCUGCAAUAGAAGUUGCAAUAUGAGCAGCAAUAUGAACUGCAAUGUGAGCAGCAAUAUGAAUUGCAAUAUGAGCAGCAAUAUGAACUGCAAUGUGAGCUGCAAUAUAAAUCACAAUGUGAGCUGCAAUAUGAACUGCAGCACGGCUUGCAAUGCAAAUUGCAACGCGAGCUGCAAUAUGAGCUGCAAUACGGGCUGCAGCCCGAAUCCCGAUGUGCGCUGCAAUAUAAGCUGCAACUUGAGCUGCAAGAUGAGCUGCAACGAGUUGCACUACAAACUGCUGGGCGUGCUGCAAUAUCAGCUGCAACGCGGGCUGCAAAACGAGCUCCAAAAUGAGCUGCAACGCAGCCGCAAGGCGAGCUGCAAUGGGAGCUGCAAUAGGAGCUGCACUGCAGGACGAACCGCCGCACGGGCAGCAAUGGGAGCUGCAAGGCGGAGCUGCAACCCCCCCCCAAAGCCCCC